AGACCUGUAAAUAACAUCCUAUCCGAAGGAAGACUAAACGUUUAUACGCAAUUGGCGUGAUAUAUGCACGUCGGUAGAUUAUAAUAAUAUAUAGGUACGUCUCUCACCGACAGUCGUAUUAUUUCGUAUGAAUUCUCCGCUGAAAACGAUCGGUCUACGUGUCGGGAUAAUAAGUAAACCUAGCUGGUUUAGAAUAUUGAAUUUUCUACCGGCAACGCGGGCAGAUGGUCAGGAACAUGGAACUUCAUUAAAUGCGGAGAGGGAUGGAUUUCCCGGGAGAGCUAAAAAUACGCACGUGGACCGAAACGGCACCGCGGAGAGCCGUGUUCGUAUU